UUUUACCGAAAGUGACCGGUCAAAAUGACCGGCAAGGUAAGAAUUUGACCGGACAACUCCGCAUUCUGGCCGGACAUUGUCCGUUGACCGGCCGUUAUUUCGCGCCCUGAGCAGCAUUAACCCGUAUUGAUACAACAUUUUUAUUUUUAUGAAUUUAUAGAAAUUGCAUCUUCCACCAGACGUUAGCGAGACCACGAGUGAUCGACAAAAGGAUCCAUUGUCUAAAAAUCCUGGCUCGUAUGGUUGUGGCGCGUCCUUGAGUAAAUUGGAUUUCUAAGUAAAUCCAAAUACUUUGUGCUCUGACGGUGCUUCCAUUUCACCAGGUGGGUGAGAAAGGCAUUGUGGGAACGUCCCCUGAUAUGUACAGUACAUAUACCCUAGUCUACACGUACACCUACACCUGAAUAUAACUGGAACCCUAUCUUUCCACAGCUACUUUUUAAUGAACUCAAAAGUUGUAGUUUGCGGUUGGCUGCCUGCCGUAAACUGUCAAUAGAGAGUUUAAGUUUCGCGUUGAUACGUCAAACAGCAAACGCCGGGCAAGGAAAAACCUUACGUUAUAAGGCAAUAAAGAGUAAACGGACUUGCUAUUUUAAAACUAUAAUGUGUACCUAUGAAAUACAUGCAUGCAGCAACCCCUCACCUUUCUCAACAGAUGAAGUAUAAAAACUCCACAUAAAGUGUUAACACUAUUAUAAACAAACAUAAAAACGUAAACACACCUGAUGUUCUAAAAUGAACGAUAACUGAUAACACUCGCUGCAAUUUCAUGUAUACCAGCUUCACAGCUUGCACAAAACACAUUAUUUAUUGUGAAUUAUCGAGUUAAGAAUGCAUGGCUUAAAAAUUUUGCAGAUAUGAAUAAAAUUGACAAGACAAAGCA